rnacentral:lncRNA from 1 species
AGUGUUCCGAAUCAACUUGUUACACAUCCGUAUAAACCUAGUGUCCUGGAAAACGUGCUUUCAUUUUUCUGUCUCAUCCUAGAGCUUGAAUCCUAAUUCUUUUCAGCAGCAAUUCCACAGGCAACAGGAGAGAUUGUGGCAUUACAAUAUUCAUUUAUACUUUUGUGGUACUUCAACAGUGGUCUUAUUUGUGGACAAGCUUACAAACCACACAAGAUGUUUAUUUGCUGUGCUCACAAAUCUCCAUCGAAACGUGCUUUUCCUAUCCUGUGUUCUUAUGGCCUGUGAGCCCAGCAUGUUGUAGUGAAGAAAAUAACUGACCAUGGUUUUCUUCUGAGGACACAGAGUCAAAAAGCCACUCAGUCCUAUUACCUCUCUCUGGGUAUGAGGGAUUUUCGUUGGUUUUGGGUGUGUGGGGGCCAGGUUAGGAGGUGAGGCGUGUAUUCUGGAGAGCUAGGGCAAGCUCAGCUUUAAGGCAAUGUACAAUAAGAACUAAGUAAAGCAAGAAAAACAGAGGGGUUUUUGUGUGUUUGCCUCUAAAGAGAAUUUCCCCCAAGUUUUCUUAAUAUAUUAAAAUCCUUCAAAAGAAUAU